CCUCUCCUGCACGACUUCUUGCACAUCCAAACUGAGAGCUGUAAUGCCCAAAGCAAAACGUCUUUCAAGGUCUGCCAGCUCCUAUUUGCUCCUGUAUGUCUGAGGCCAGUUUCCCAAGGGAUCCCAUCUACUAGUGACCUAAACAGACAAACAUUUUCCUUUCAGAGGUUUAGGGGGCACUAACUCUGCUUUCUACCCAUCCAGUAUGCCUCAAGACUGAGAAUUCUAUCAGGGCAUGAUAGCUGCAGCACAGGUGAAGCUACAGCCUCACCCAAAGACUCAGCCACUGACCAUUUCACAUCAAAAAGCAGAAUACCUCCUUCCAGGGAAGAGUCAAAAAGCAGAGAUGCAAUUUGUCUUCAGUGCCUCAAUUUGAUUUGACUUGAUUUGAUUUGAUUUGAUUUGAUUUGAUUUGAUUUAGUGUGGAAUGGCACUGUUUGAGUUUGUGCAGUCUUUGCUGGGGAAGGCUGAGAUGGGUUGCACUGUGCUGGCCUGGAUGCAGCGGAGCUGAGUUCGGCUGGGAGAUGUUUGGUUUGGUUUCCCAACAAGGACAACGGGCUUUGUAUGUGUCCCUGUGUGUGCAGAAGGAGAGCGUGAGCAUUCACAUGGGGACACGGGCAUUCAGUGAGGCCUGUGAUGAGCACACUGUUCAGGAGUCCCUGUGGUUCACCCUCUGCCCAAGUCAUACAGGCAUCAGCAGUACAUCAAAGGGGAGGACAAAGAGCUGAGCUGGUCAUUCUCAUCACAAAGGUCCAACUGUUUCACUCCUGGACCUGAAGGUGCUGUUCCUAGGGGAUGUCACCUUUGCUUUUCUUCUUCCCACAGGGCAUAUGAGCUCAGCUCGGAGGAUUUAUUGUUUACUGAAAAACAAGUCUGUCGAAAGAAUGGUUAGGAGUUCGGAGAGCCUUAUGACUCCUUGCCUAAAGGUAAUUCAAGCCAAAAUGGAUUUGUUUUUCCCCUCGUGCUCAUCCUGCAGGCCAACAUCCUUUGUGGGAUGUGGUAAAGGCAGGGAUUCAGAGCUCCCAGGUGCUACUGGGAGGUCGGGGUCAGAGUGAAACAGUUGCCUUAGUGGGUCCAAAAAGCUGAAGAGUGCGAGGGCCGGGCAGAGGAUGAGCCACAAAGACUUGGGCUGGCCACUGCCCAAGUGCCUAAGCCACCUGCUAAACUUGUGAGUGUCUGCUGCUCAGGCCAAGGCCCUGAGCUGGAAACAAUAGCGAGGUGACUUGAGGUGCUGAAAUCCUCAGUGCCCGAAGGGCAGCGUGCAGCGUGGAGGGGCGGUGGCUGUGGGCGUGCUCCAGGAAUGGCCGUGGCCAGCAAGCCACUGAGCUUCUCUGAGAGCACCUGAGAUGAGAUGAACAACCACGUCCUCCAGCCUUAGGGGUCAGCAUAAUGACUGCUGCGCCUCAAAGGGCACACUUUGGUCUCCGUCACGUGUUACACGCGAGCAAAACCUCUCAGAUGAAAGGGGAAAAAUCUAAUCAUCCAGGAGACCUCUGCAAGCAAAUACUGCUAGUUAGCAAAGUGCUUCAUGCAUGAAGAAUGCUUCUGGAUGCCCAAGGACAGGAGGCAGGGUAUAAAAGUCCAUGCGUCUCCAGGCCUGCCAAACACUGCCCUUGCGGCCAUCUCCUCAGUCGCCUAGCUCUGCCUCCCUCGCCGAGAGAUGUCUUGCUACAGACCCUGCCUCCCUUACCCCUGCGGACCAGCCCCCCUUGCAAACAGCUGCAAUGAGUCUUGCGUUCUGCGGUGCGCUGACUCCACCACCGUCAUCGAACCCCCCCCGGUGGUGGUCACCCUGCCCGGCCCCAUCCUCACCUCUUUCCCUCAGAGCACAGCCGUGGGGUCCGCUCUGUCAGCUGCUGUUGGGAGUUCCCUCAGCACUGGAGGGGUCCCCGUCUCUUCCGGGGGAGCCCUUGGCUUUGGAAGAUUCACAGGCCUUGGGAGCGGUCUGUGUGGGCCCCUGCGUUCCUGCCACCUGUACUAGUAGGGCCAGCGGAUCGCUCACCUUGGGAAGAACAACCAGGAAUGGAGAAACGAGAUCUGGACCCAGGACCCAGGAGAUGCCGGGUGUUCCCAGCGUAUGAGAUACCUGCCUCAUCCUCAUGCUCUAACUGGAAGGGAGCCAUGUGUCAUCCCUUGACACCACGCCCUUCUUGCUCUUAGUCUUCCUUUGCUUUCUCUGCUACUGCCAGGCAGCCCACGCAUCCUCGCUGCUGGGCUUCAAAGCUUUUGCUGAUGACCAGGGCAACAUACUCCACCCACCCCUGCUGUGGGUGGCAGGUUAUUCUCACCAUCUGCGGCUGCAAUGGAGAGAAAAGAGCGCCUUGCAUGCCACUGCAAAAAGUGAUGUCCUCUUGCCCUGGGAAGCCCUGGGCCUCUCACGCUCAGUGUUCUUCCACCUUCCUUUAAAAUUUAAACUUUGUCUUCUCAUUAAAAAAAUGUUGCAUCCCA